rnacentral:rRNA from 1 species
CCUACGGGAGGCAGCAGUGGGGAAUAUUGCUCAAUGGGCGCGACCCUGAAGCAGCGACGCCGCGUGAAGGAUGACUGCCCUACGUGUGGUAAACUUUUUUUAUAAAGAAGUAAAUGACGGUACGUGUGCCUUUAUCUCUGUCUAACUUCGUGCCAGCAGCGGCGGUACUACGGAGGGAGCAAGCGUUAUCCGGAUUUACUGGGUGUAAAGGGAGCGUAGACGGGUUAGUAAGUCAGUAGUGAAAGUCUGGGGCUCAACCGUAGAAUUGCAAUUGAUACUGGAAGUCGUGAGUACAGGAGAGGUAGGUGGAAUUCGUGGUGUAGCGGUGAAAUGCUUAGAUAUCACGAAGAACACCGAUUGCGAAGGCAGCUUACUAAACUGCAACUGACAUUGAUGCUCGAAAGUGUGGGGAGCAAACAGGAUUAGAUACCCCAGUAGUC